rnacentral:rRNA from 1 species
AGAGUUUGAUCCUGGCUCAGGACGAACGCUGGCGGUGUGCUUCACACAUGCAAGUCGAACGGAGUAGCAAUACUCAGUGGCGGACGGGUGAGUAACACGUGGGAAUCUACCAUUAGGUGGGGAAUAACAGGCCGAAAGGACUGCUAAUGCCGCAUAUGUAGGCAUCUCGACAGAGAUGUUUAUGAAAGGAGUAAUCCGCCUUUUGAUGAGCCCGCGUCCGAUUAGCUAGUUGGUAGGGUAAAAGCCUACCAAGGCGACGAUCGGUAGGUGGUCUGAGAGGAUGAUCACCCACAAUGGGACUGAGACACGGCCCAUACUCCUACGGGAGGCAGCAGUGGGGAAUUUUACGCAAUGGGAGAAACCCUGACGUAGCGACACCGCGUGAGCGAAGAAGCCCUUUGGGGUGUAAAGCUCUGUCAACAGGAACGAAACAAAUGACGGUACCUGUGGAGGAAGCAUCGGCUAACUACGUGCCAGCAGCCGCGGUAAGACGUAGGAUGCAAGCGUUGUCCGGAUUUAUUGGGCGUAAAGAGUUCGUAGGCGGUUUGUUAAGUCUGAUGUUAAAGACCGGGGCUCAACCUCGGAAAUGCAUUGGAUACUGGCAGACUGGAGUGCAGUAGAGGCUAGUGGAAUUCCCAGUGUAGCGGUGAAAUGCGUAGA